rnacentral:rRNA from 1 species
UAGUCAUAUGCUUGUCUCAAAGAUUAAGCCAUGCAGGUCUCAGUGCAAGCCGAAUUAAGGUGAAACCGCGAAAAGCUCAUUAAAUCAGCUAUGGUUCCUUAGAUGGUACGUACAGUUACUUGGAUAACUGUGGCAAUUCUAGAGCUAAUACAUGCAAACCGAGUUCCGACCGCUUAGCAGGCGGAAGGAAUGCUUUUAUUAGAUCAAAACCAAUCGGACUCUACACUGAUGGGUUCGUUUAAGCCUUGGUGACUCUGAAUAACUUUGUGCUGAUCGCACGGUCCCGCACCGGCGACGCAUCUUUCAAAUGUCUGACUUAUCAACUUUCGAUGGUAAGCUCUGCGCCUACCAUGGUCGUAACGGGUAACGGGGAAUCAGGGUUCGAUUCCGGAGAGGGAGCCUGAGAAACGGCUACCACAUCCAAGGAAGGCAGCAGGCGCGCAAAUUACCCACUCCCGGCACGGGGAGGUAGUGACGAAAAAUAACGAUGCAGAACUCUUUCCGAGGCUCUGCAAUCGGAAUGAGAACACUCUAAAUCAUUUAACGAGUAUCCAUUGGAGGGCAAGUCUGGUGCCAGCAGCCGCGGUAAUUCCAGCUCCAAUAGCGUAUAUUAAAGUUGUUGC